CAGCGGCCGCACACGGAAACAGCCGAGCUCCGCCCGGAGCAGCUCGAGCGGCCCCGCCCCGCGCUGGGGGCGGAACGUGCCGAAGGCCUUCGGGUACCUCCGGGCGAGGCGGAGGCAUUCUGCCAGGAGAGUGAAGGUGAAGGUGGGCUGGGAGCCGGGCCGGGAGGAGGGGUGUAAGCCCCUUCGCUGCGUUCGGAAAUAGAUGUGAGAAGAGUCCCAGAGAUUGAAGCACAUACUAUUUGGGAUCCUGAUCAAACAAGGCAAGAAGAAAUGAAUACAACACUCCAAGGACAAAAAGAGCAAGAAAGGAGAUAACAGCAGUUAAGAGAAUUCAUCACAUGUUUGGAAGAUGGGAAGUGGAUGGAGGAAAGGUGACUGACUUGGCAGAGUAGAGGAAGCUGAUACCUAAGUGCCUGUAGAAACAAUUGGAGGCUACACCUCUUCAUUCUUUUACGGAGGUUAGGAAAAGAGUACACAGGGAGGCCUACAGAAUAUUUAGCUAAAUAUUUAAAAGAUAUAGAUCCAGCUAAAAAAAAACCACUGACUAAAGUAUAUUCUAUCCUCCUGUCUUGAGAAAUGCAGAGGAAGGACCUCCACCUGGGAGUAUUCCAAUGAAGACAUCUACUCAUGUAUAAAGGCAACUCAAUGGGAUAAAAAUAUUUGAGAAUUAUUGUGCUAGAACAAUCAGCAAAUGACCAACACUACAUUUUCUGACCAUUCUUCCUCCUCUGCAAUUACGUUCAUGAGAAUUUAUGUAGAAACAGAAGCGUAUCAAGGUCAGCACCUGGUCUUUCCCUAAUUAAGUGGUUUGCAACACUCCCCCCUUCCUCCAUAUUGCCCCCUCAAUAAAGCACUUGGAAAGAA